GGAGGUUUUUCCUUCCAGCAGCCUGAAUUCUCCCAAGCCUGAGAAAGAAAAACUCCCUCUGGGACAUCCCUGUCAAGUCUGGCUGAAAAUGGACAGUCUGUUCAUGAGCUCCUGGGGAUAAAGAGCAGAAAGAAAAGUGACUGUGACACUGGAGGUGGCACCUGUGUCCUCAGGGGAGCACACAGCCUGCUUCAGCACAGGGGCAAAAGGACGGACAGCAGCGCUCCUCGGAGCCGAGUCCCGACGGGAGCCGUGUCCUGCUAUUGCCACCUCGUGGGGCCUCGCAGCAAUGACCAGGUCACCCCCGCGGGUGAUGGCACAGAGCAGAGAUGGAAAUACAGAUCCUGGUAUCAGAUGAACCCACAGCACUGACAGUGUGACAUUCCAUGCCAGUCCCCAAAGCCUGGAUACCUGCAGUGAACACUCCGCAACCUCAAAUCAGAAUUUAGCACUUGCUCCAGAGAACACAAUAUCAAAGGAGCUCACAAGAAGGGACUGGAUGAGAUUUGUUUUUAACCCUCUGGGCUGAAGAUGUGUCAGGAACAGGAGGUGUUUUGAAUACAAGUAAAUCUUAGAACACAAUAUUUGACCUAUCUAUCAUACAGCACAUUUCAGAGAAGGACUGUAUUUCUGCACUGAAGCCAACUCUUCACAGGCAAGUCAUUUGAAUUCCUCCAUGUUUGCUUCCUCCAGCCUCCAGGAAAUGAAAUCUAAUUUAAAAAAAUAUCAUUCUUGAUGAGGGUUUCAACUGAAGAGUAAAGACUCAAGUGCCAGUCCCUGCAGAGCACUGUCAGAUUUUUCCCACGUUGAGUAAUUCUGGUUCCUAAUGGAGUUCGCACUAAGUUACCUACCCCAAAACAUCUGUGAUUUAAACUGUUUGAUGGAAUAUAUCUCAUUGAAAACCAGUGGGACACUGAAUUAUUUGACUCCCCUGAGCUCUGCCCUAGUGGAGCACUGUCAGUGUCCAAACCUCUUCCCACACACUUCCCAACGAUUCAGAAAGUGGGUCAUUAACACGUUUUGUCAUUUGAUGCAAUUUCUCCCUUCCCUCUAAACUGGGCUUUUUUCCAGGUCCAGUAGCCAACAAUAAAUCAAUCACAGUCUCUCACAAGCCUUUUGACUCAAAUUCUAUCCUGUAGGUUGGGCUGAAACCAGAGCAGAAAUCACUGCAGGAGGUGGGGCAGGACAGGGCUAGUGGUGACUGCCACUGAGGAGGUGUUUGCUUGACCCACUGCUGCUCUUGCUGCCGUUCUUUGUGGACUCCUCCUCAGUAUCUGUGACAGAAUCUUCCUCCUCUUCAUCACUCCGAUCAUCUUUCAAGUCCUAGGGAGAAGAAAGCACUCGCAACAAGCUCACACGAGCAGCGCCUGCCUGCCUGGAAGACUUUCCAUGCCAAUGGAUGACCUUCUCUGCAGACUCAGGGCAGGAUGCUCUAGUUAAAAGAUGGACAUCAAGAAAACACUUCCUACUUCCUAAAUGUUCUCAGGCACCACUUUUUAUGUCUUUUUG